GACGAACGCUGGCGGCGUGCUUAACACAUGCAAGUCGAACGGCAAGGCCCUGCUUUUGUGGGGUGCCCGAGUGGCGAACGGGUGAGUAACACGUGAGUAACCUGCCCUUGACUUUGGGAUAACUUCAGGAAACGGGGGCUAAUACCGGAUAGGAGCUCCUGCUGCAUGGUGGGGGUUGGAAAGUUUCUGCGGUAGGGGCUGGAUUCGCGGCUUAUCAGCUUGUUGGUGGGGUAGGGGCUGACCAAGUCAUUGACGGGUAGCCGGCCUGAGAGGGUGACCGGCGACCUGGGGACUGAGAUACGGCCCAGACGGCUACAUUGGGCAGCAGGGGGAAAUAUUGCACAGUGAGCGGGCGUCUGAUGCAGCAACGCCGGGUGCGUGAUGACGGCCUUCGGGUUGUGAACCGCUUCAGCCUGUGACGAAGCGUGAGUGACGGUAAUGAGUGAAGAAGCACCGGCUAACUGCGUG
rnacentral:rRNA from 1 species